CCCACACCAGAUUUUGUAUAUAGCCAAUGCAUUGCAAUUUUCUGGAGCAAGUUGCAAUCAAGGGCCUUCUGGGCCAACCAUAUUUAUAUGCAUAUCUGCAUUUCUAGUCUGGGCACCUCCAGUGGGAGGUCUCCUCUUUGAGGAUCUACGCUGAGGCACUUCCCAGGCAUCUCUGCUGAGACCUCCUUAUUGGGAGCCUUGGCUAAAAUACUUCUCUCCACUUAGCUUCAGUAUCUUUCUACUCCCAGCCUUUCCCCUUUCCAUCUCCUCAGCCCGUGAAUCCAUAGAGAGGGUUAUCUUCUUCUGCUGGAUGGAUAAACACUCAGAACCCCAAAGCAGUGUUCUAAGAUUAAAAAGAAAAAAGAAAAUCAGGUGGAUAAAGAGCCUCAGGUCUAACUGAAUUGUCAACUAAUGAUGGUCUGAGAGUACCUGUGCUGAAAUGGAAUUGUCUUUGAGUGGACACUUCUUAGAUGAGACCUAUUGUGGCCAAUAGCUCCUGAGGAACUGAAGCCUUCAGUUCAAAACUUAAAACCAUGGAUUUUCACAUAGACUAUGAAAAGUAAGCAAGGCUGUGGACAGUAUCACCAAGAACAUGCACAUUCUACCUGAAGAGCUUCAAGACACUUAACCAAUGGUAUUGUAUAACCAUAAGAUUUCCUCCAGCAACCUCUUAGAAUCUGCUGCACUGAUUACUCUUAGGUUCAAUAACUGACUUUUCAGUGCCACCUGUUUUACUAAUAUUUUCUCUUUUCUAGUUUAGGCAUCACUCUUUUAAGAUGCCUCACCUCAGACCUCUAAAACAACUGACCGGUUCAACUAGUUUUAUAGUAACAAUGCCAAUAAGAACCAUUGAGACUAUUUCUUUAACCCUGCCUCACCCCAUCUAGGAUGCUUAUUAUUGCUUCUGAGUUGUUGAAUGUUGAGUGAAGAAUGACAUUCAUUUGUCUUGAACAAAAGGAAAAGACUGACAAUGUUGGAGUUUAUCUGAGCUCUGUGUUCCCAGAAAAGAGCCAUAAGAAGAAAAGCCGCAAAGGACCACCCUGUUCCACCAUAUUUGAAGUUAACGCCCACCUCCAUCCUUCUUCGUAUCAUCUGUCCUAUAACACCCAUAGGAUUCCAGGGUGAACACCUUAUGUAUCUGCCUCCAUAAAACACAAG
rnacentral:lncRNA from 10 species